rnacentral:tRNA from 1 species
GCCUGGGUGGCUCAGUUGGUUGAGCAUCUGACUUCAGCUCAGCUCAUGAUCUCAGGGUUCAUGAGUUAGAGCCCUGCAUCAGGCU